rnacentral:rRNA from 1 species
AUUGAACGCUGGCGGCAUGCUUUACACAUGCAAGUCGAACGGCAGCAUAAAUGAUGCUUGCAUCAUUUGAUGGCGAGUGGCGAACGGGUGAGUAACACAUCGGAACGUACCGUUUAGUGGGGGACAACUUUCAGAAAUGGAAGCUAAUACCGCAUACGAACUACGGUUGAAAGCAGGGGACCCUCGGGCCUUGUGCUAAACGAGCGGCCGAUGGAAGAUUAGCUAGUUGGUAGGGUAAAGGCCUACCAAGGCCACGAGCUUUAGCGGGUCUGAGAGGACGAUCCGCCACACUGGAACUGAGACACGGUCCAGACUCCUACGGGAGGCAGCAGUGGGGAAUUUUGGACAAUGGGGGCAACCCUGAUCCAGCAAUGCCGCGUGAGUGAAGAAGGCCUUCGGGUUGUAAAGCUCUUUUGUUAGGGAAGAAAAGGUUUGGGCUAAUAUCCUGAACUGAUGACGGUACCUAAAGAAUAAGCACCGGCUAACUACGUGCCAGCAGCCGCCGUAAUAC